UGUGGUGCCCUGGCUGGUCUCAAACUCCUGGCCCCAAGUGAUCCUCCUGUCUCGGCUUCCCAAAGUGCUGGGAUUAUGAUGUGAGUCACCAUGCCCAACCCUCAUUUUCUUUUAUAUAAAAUUUAGAAGCAGUUCGUCAACUUCCAGAAAAGUUUGUGUUGGAAUUUUGAUUAAAAAAUGUAUUUUCUGUUUUGCAGUGGGCAGAUGUAUGCAAACCUAUCCUAAAGUUCAAGGAAGCUGAGAGGCCGAAGAAAGAGGCUGACAAAUCUAGUUUCUCAGAAAGAAACCUUUAACAGGGAUUUAGGAACAGAAGCCAUGUCUGGGUCUCAGACAGGGCAGGAUGAGAUGAUGCCAUUUGGAGUAGCUACUUUGAGGACAAGAGACAAAAAGCCUGAGGAGAAAGUCACCAUGAAGGAAACAGAAAGAUUAAACAGCAUGCGUGAUCUUUGAUUCAGAGUCCCCAUCUCACCCUGGACUGCCUUCCUUUGGAAUUCCCUUGUGGAAAAAAAAAUUAAACUCUUAUUUGGUUAAAUAAUUGUGACAUCUGAGCUGAGACUUGAAUGAAGAAAAGCUGUCCAUGUAAAGAUCUGGGAGCAGAAGGAUCCAGGCAGAGGAAAUGGAAAGUACAAGGGGCUGGAUGAGAGAACAAGCUUGGCUUGUUCGCAAAACAGAGAGACCCGUGUCUUCAUCAUGGAGCACCUCUUCUCCUCUCUCCUUACCUGUUCUGGAGGCCAGAAGCCUGACAUCAGUUUCACAGAGUCAAAAUCAAGGUGUUGGCAGGAUACUCUACAGUCCCUCUGGAGACUUUAGGUUGGAAAUAUUUUUGCAAUACCACUGAAUCCUCCAGUUUUUACCCCUUACGAUGGGAAGUGAAUACAGUAUGAAAAGGGAGUGGGACAUAUGAGAGGAACGACAGGCUCAAAAUAUGAAGACUUAAUCCAGACACCUCUGUGUCUCUGAACUUGCGUUGUUUCUUCUUUGGAGGUGAAGUACACAUCGUUUUACUCCGGGCAGAGGACUUGUGCUCCUUUUGAGAACUUUCAGCUCUGUAGUGUCGAGUCUUCUGGUUUCCAGAUCCACAUCCUGCCCUGGGGGAAUUGACAUCCAUCAGAUAUUUACUGAGUAACUCCUAUGUGCCAGGUCCCACUUUUGUGGCUAUUGCAAUUUUGGCAGAAAGCAGAUAUUGAACAAUGUCUUUGUGUGCAUGAGUGGGUUUGUGGGAGGUGAAGAGCAGAGGGAGAAAAAGAGAGAGAAGAGGAGGGUGAGAGAGAGGAACAGAAGACCUGGCUGUACUCCUGAAUAACACUGACUUCUUCUAGGAAAGCACUCUGAAGCCAAGUUGAAACAUUAUACUCUCAGGCAGUAGUAGAGAUCAACCUCUUAAAACCAAAUCCAUGGGCCCAGGAGUAUGGAAAAGAGUUCAAUAAAAUGGCCUUAACUGGUAUAAGAAGUUACAAUUGUUAAAAGGAGAUUCAGCUGUGAUAGCAAAAGAGAAAGAAAAUGAAAAAGUUGUCCUGGCUCAUCUCUGGAAAGACAUGAUAUUUCAUAACCUCAAGGUGUUUGCUUCUGACCUAUAACUUCAAUUAUAGACCAGGUUAUCCAAAAGUUCUCCUUAUUAACAAGGUAUCUGUUUUUACCAGGUGUCUGUUAUUAAUUAGUUAGUAUAUAAUUUAAUGCAAUUAACCAAAGCACCUCUUAUGCCUAGAACAUAGCAGGUGGUUUACUUCUUUCUUAUGACAUAUUCAAGACUCAUGGUUUUCCCAUUUUUAGAGUCAAAAACAUAAAUUCCUCCUUUUGCUUUCCUGCGCUAACAUAUCCACCUCACACACCUGUUUACUCUUUGUUUGCAGGGAAAUGUGUACAUCUGCUAGGGCGUGAUCUCGAUGAUGAGGUGACAUAUGGGAUGUCAUUCCAUUAUUUAAAGAACAAAUUCCAAAGAUCAAACUUUUCUCCCCACACUUGUGAGUGAUACAUGGGUCUUCUCAGGGACAUUAAAAUGGAGCUAGUCUCACUGAUUUCAUGGACAUUUAGCAUACAAUUAUUGAGUUACCUGCUGAAAUCUCUUCAUACAUAUCUGGUUUCACCCUAGGUUAUGAAUAUCCAUGCAGACUAUUUUUCCAAGCUUCUACGCAACUAACCUUGGCACUUACCCCCAGCUCAGGCAGCAAGCAAAUUAUUCUGGCUUGAUGUCCAUCUGAUGGUUUACUCUUGCUACCUCCUACUCCCUACUAUAACCACAAAUGACCUCCUCCCCACUUGCUCUCAUUCUUACCAGAAGUUUUCAGUUAACAGCUCACUACUAAGCCAGUUUCCUUCUUAAAGUAUAUAUAUCCUUUUAAAAUUUCCAGUCUUGUUACUCUCUCUCUUCCUCUUCAAUUUCUUGUCCUGUUGUCACAAGAUCUCUUCUUAGCUCACCAAAUUAUCUUCUCUUCCCUUUCUCUUUUAUUCCAUUUAUGAACAAGACACCAACUUCUACCACAACAACAGAACAAAACAACCCCUAGCUUCAAAGAGAACAAAAAAACCCCAAAAUAAAUUAAAAAUGGCUUUAAUGCUUAGAGUUGCAGGGACAAGAAAAACCACAUUCUUUUAAAAUGAAAUUAGAUGUCAUAAAGGACUAUGAACUAGUAAGAGUUCCCCGAAGUCCCCUUCCGAAUCUCACAAAAGACUCCAUCUCCUUCUUCAUCUGGCUUUUUGUUAAUAACCAAUGUCCAAUAUAAAUAGAAACAUUGCUUUGUUUUGAUUGUAUUGCUCUUUCAUUUGUGCAAAUGGUAGUAUUUCUAUUGUAUCAAUGAUAAACUUUUUCAGGCAAGCCUGAGAUGGCAGAUUACAACAUUAUUUCUAUGGGAACACCCAUUCCUAAUUGGAAACAAUCAGAUUACCAACAGAGAGUUCAUAAACUGAGAGCUGCCUGCAAUGAGAACUGAUUUACACUCUGGUUUCUAAUUUAGAAACAAUUUCACUGUGCUAGUUUCUCCUUUUGCACAAAGAUUUAGGAUGGUGCAGUAGGGUAAGGAAAAAUGGCUUCCCUUCAGUCUGCUAGGUUCUUUGGCUGGGCUACAAAUUAAAUUGCCAUAAAACAGAUUAAUAGGAGAAAACCAUAUUUAAUAACAUGUAUGCAUGGGAGUCCCAUAAAAUAUGGGAUUGGAAGAAGGAUCAGAUGAUUAUAUAGCAUCCUGAGGUACAGAAAGGAGUAGGGGCUUGGCACUUCCAGGGGAUGGUGGCAACACAAGCAAUGGGAGGAUAAGGGGAGACAAUGUAUGGUGAAUAAAUGGUUGUCUUACGCAGACAUAAGGUCUCUCACGUAAUACAAGUUAUCUGGGAGCAGCCCUCAGAAAAAUAGGUGUUAAUCUGUGGGGUCAUGGUGUCCACCUCCAAUCUCCUCUCCUGUGAUCGAAGUUAAUCUUCCUUGGUUGAUAAGAUUCCCAGGGAGGGGAUUCAUGACAAUUUAGUUCCUUUUGGGGGCUGUCUUUAGGAAGACUAAAGGGAGCUCAGAGGAAGCCUCUGCCGGCAUCCACUGUUCCCCAAGUGUCCUCAAUUAUCAGUCUGAUACGUGGUAAGUAAGUGGUUUCUAGGUAUUUAAUAUGCCUUUUCCUGAUAACUAAUUUGCCAGAUAGAUUUUCCAAAAAUGGUUGCAACAAUAUCUCCCAUCCCUGAUUCUCUUCUUAAAUAUGACUUUGACAACUUUUCUAUCAAGAGGUAGGGUCUAUAUCCCCUUCCCUUGAAACUAAGAGGGUCUGUGGUUAAGGCAGAACUGACACUCAGUGACUUUUGAGCUAAGUCAUAAAAGAUGAUACAACUUAUGGCUGGUUCUGACUCAAUCUUGGAACCCAGCCAUCAUGUUGUGAAGAAUCUCAGGACAUUUACAGAGGCUUCAUAGGUUUCUGGCAGACAGCUCCAGCUUACAACAGCAUCAACCAACAGACUUGUGAGUGAAGAUGGCUCCUGAAGGUAUCAGCCCCCCGCUGUCCAGUCACCUCCCAGCUUUUGAGUCUUUCCAGCCGAGACCCCAGACACCAAGGCACAGAGACAAACGUCUGCAUUGUAACCUGUCCAAAAUUCUGACCCACAGAGUUCUUGGCAUAAUAUAAUGAUUGUUUUAUGUCACUAAAGUUUGGAGUGGCUUGUCACAUUGCAAUAAAAAAUUGCAACAACGAAGGAGGUUGAUUAUCUUUUCAUGCUUAUUGAUCAUUUGCAUUUCUUCUGUGUACUGUCUAUUCACAAAUUUUGCCUGUUUGACUCUUGGGUUAUUUGUCUUGCUCAUAUUUUCUGCAUAUUAAUCCUACUUUUGUUACCUAUAUUGCAAAUGUAUUCAACCAGUUGCUUGCUAGGUAAUAGAGAAAUUUGAGUUUUAUGUAUCCGUUCAUUGUUUUCAUUUUUUAGUCUUGGGGUUUUGUAUCUUUUUUUUUUUUUUUUUUUUUUUUUUUGAGACGACGGAGUCUCUCUCUGUCACCCAGGCUGGAGUGCAGUGGCGUGAUCUCCGCUCACUGCAAGCUCUGCCUCCCGGGUUCAUGCUGUUUUCCUGCCUCAGCCUCCCAAAUAGCUGGGACCACAGGCGCCCGCCACCAUGCCCAGCUAAUUUUUUUUUUUUUUGUAUUUUUUAGUAGAGACGGGGUUUCACUGUGUUAGCCAGGAUGGUCUCGAUCUCCUGACCUCGUGAUCCGCCAGCCUCGGCCUCCCGAAGUGCUGGGAUUACAGGCGUGAGCCACUGUGCCCGGCCGGUUUUGUGUCUUUUUUAGAAAAAGGCUUUCCCAUUUGAAGAAUAUAAAAAUAUCCUAUACUUUCUUCUAGCACUUUUAUACCUUUUCUUAUUCAUCAUAAGAUCAGUCUCUGACUCUAUCUUGAAUUUAUUAUUUUACAUGGUAUGGGACAGUGAAAAUCUAACUCUUUUUAGAUGGAUAGUCAGUUGUCUCUGUACCAUUUAUUUAAAUCAUCCAUUCUUUUUCCAUUGAUUUGAAAUGCCUCCUUUAUGAACUAAAUUCUUAAAUAAAUAUAUGUCUAUUUCUAGACUGUCUAUUCUGAACCAUUAAACUGUUUGAUCAUUACUACAAAAGUGCCAUUUUAUUUUAAUUUAUAUAGCUUUUUGAUAUGUUCUGAUAUCCAGUAGAACGCAUAGUAUAGUCUAAUUUUUCUUCCCCCAGAAAUAUCUUUGCAGAUUUUAAGAAUUUCGUCUUUCAGAUAAAUUUCAGAAUAAACUCGCCAAGUGCCUUGCUUGGCACUUAAGUCACAGCCUUGCUUUGACUUAAUAAAUUAAUGUGUAGCAAACUGACAUAUUUAUUAUGUCUUCUUGUAUAUUAACAUGGUAUAUUUCCCCAU
rnacentral:lncRNA from 1 species